rnacentral:tRNA from 1 species
AGAUAAAUAGUAUAAGCGAGUACUAAAGGUUUCGGCCCUUUAAGAGAAACAAUAAUUUCUUUAUCUU